UUUUUGUCAUUAUUAUGACUCCACUAGUGUCCAUUAGGGCAGUAAUGUGUAAUUGCUCUGUUGCUCCCCUCAAUUUUGCAAAAAUUACGCGUCAGAUGCGCUAACUUUUAUUUUCUAUGGAGGGGUCGCUGCACGAAGAGGAUCAGAAUGCAGUAUAGGAAGGGACUUUGUUUCUGUUGAGGGGUCAGUGCUCAUCACGUGGAGGAGAUUGGGAUGAUUGCAACCCAGAAACGUGCAGAAUGUGUAUACAUAUACUUAUUGAGGUCAUCGCAAUUCACAAAUUGAGAGCGGGAAAAAACAACGCAAUCCAUUGUCUUCUUCAUUACUCUUCCUUGUAUAUUUUUCAAUCAUUUUAUAACAAGGUUGUCGUCAAUUGCUUUUGUGAGUUCCUUGUUAAAAGCCUGGCAACUUUCUUUUCUUAAGGUAUUUCGACAAA